rnacentral:lncRNA from 1 species
AGUGAGUUGACCUUAUGAAAAACUCCCUGGCUCUACAUAACAUCACAUCUUACAAAAUAAAUAAGCAGUGCAUAAAAAAUGGACACAGAGGUAUCAGAAAGCUAUUAAUUUAGUCCAAACAGAGUGAAUACAAUGGGUUAAACAACUAUCUCAAUUUAGAAAAUGUGGUCAUGAUAGUGCUAAUUCGUUAUUCCAAGUACUCCCCAAAUAAUCACUUGGGUCUUCUUAUUAGGUAAAACAUUUGUGUCUUCAGUCAUUACUAGUAAGUCACUUUAGGAAAAGUCAGUGGAAGCCACAAAUUCAUACUUAAGUAAAGGUUCUGGAGGCAAAUACCCUUUUAGCCACUCUUUCUAUUUUCAACUCCACUAGACUCAGAAGAGUUUAAAAUUAAUGACUAUAGGUCAUUGCAUUGUCCAGACCUCCCAAAGGCCAAACCUAGGACAUCCCUAUUGGUCCUUGUAAAAUUCAAUGUUGAAAACAUUGUUUCAAAACUAAACAGUUCUCAAAAACUAAAUCUGACUUCAGACUGUGAUUACAGAAUAUAAAAUGUGUUGCCUUCACCAUGCAUUGGGCUGCCAAGGGUAGGAAAUCAAACCAACCAACUGCCUAAACACAGCUGCUCUGCAGACUGGUUAAAUGCAAACAGUGCUACGCAUGACUGAGACAUGAUAUUAGAAACGAAGAAAACGAAAGUAUUUCAGACCCUUUGAAAACAGGAACUGCCACAAGGCUAUAUAAAUUUUUUAGUGUAGAAUUCAAUAAACAUUUCAUCAUCAAUAGGAUUUCAUAAACUCUACCACGAUACAAGACUUAGAAGCCACUUUCUCCAGGUCAUCUUCUUUAUUAGUAGAUGAAUCUAAAUGAAAGUCUUGCAGUCAGACUGGAGAGCAGCUUGCCUUAUUGGACAGGAUAUACAGGUCAUCUUCCUUCUUCAUAGAUGAAUCUAAAUCAAAAUCUUACAGUCAAACUGGAGACUGGAUUGCCUUAUUGGACAGGAGAUACAGCUUGGGUCAUGAGCAGAAGAGAACAGCUAUCGGGCGUGAUUUCAAUAUGAUUUUCUUGCACCUCCUGGUAAAGGCAUAUAAUGUGACAACAGCAACAGCAGCAUCAGCAGCAGCAAGUUAAUCUUCAAAGUGCUUCAACCUAUAUGAGAAUUUAAGUGACUUUUACCUAUAGUUACAAUCUAAAGAAAGAAUAAUAAUAAUAAUACUAGUAAUAAUAGAUAGGAGUAGGUACUUGUGAAGAACUCAUAUCUCAUUAUCUCAUAUUUUUCUAAAAAUUUUCCAUGAUACUGUUAUUAUCUGCAUUUAUACAUAAGGAAAUCAAGGCAAAGACAUUCAUGUAUCUCGUACAAAGUGACAUAGCUAACUAUUGCUAGAGCUGGGAUACGAAUCUAGUCUGACACAGGAGCCUACAUGUUCAACCACUGAUUUUUGAUGCCCACUUAUCCCCUACACAUCAGCUUACCAGAACUACUCAUGUUUCACCAAACAUGGCUUGAUUUUUCUCAGUUCUGAGCCUCUGAACACAUUGUUCAUACAAACUAAAUAGCUGUCAGAAACAUAUUUCCAAGAGUAAUUAUAUGCUUUCUUAAAAAUCUUAUCAAUUUCAAUCCAGGUAGUGUCAUUAUUGACUCUUACUAAAUCGCAAUUUGAGCUCCCAUUGCCUUAAUUGCAGUUAUAUUUUGUCUUUAUAUCCAUUUCUUCAAUGGAAAAUAUUAAGCUCAGGGAUUAUAUCUUAAUCAUCUCUUUAUGUUAAGUGGUUGACACAAAAACUAGGUCAUAAUAGAAAGCAAAAGUGUUUACUAAGCAACAGUGAUAUUAAAAGAGAAUCAAUGCAAUGAGAAAAUUCCUUCAAAGAUAAUAGACCUUUUGCUCCCAUGUCUUUUUACAUUAUUU